GGGAGGGACGGACGAACUCGGUUUCCAUUUUUUGUUUUUUUUUUCCUUUUCUUCUUCUUCUUCUUCUUCCUCCUUAUUCUUUCUGGGUUGCAAGGGAUUGGGUUUAUGGUGGGGAAAGGGGGGACAAACUGGAUUUGGUUUGGGUUUUUUUUGGUGACUCACGAGGACUUCAACGGUGGUUCUGACAGAACAUCAUAAAUGUAGGAUCACCUUUGGGUGUUAUCUAUAUCUAGUACUUGUCCUGCUUGACUGCAUCUAGGAUAUUUAUGCUCUGGCUGUGUAAUUUACAUUUAAUCUCACAUUAGCACUUUAUCUUAGCUAGUAAUGCUGCUAGUAGUUGGUUUUUAUUUAGUCAUAUUUCCCUUGUACACCUUAACAGUAAGCCCCUUGCUCCCUCGCCCGCGCCAACUUCCAUCUCCACCACUCGCUCCCCUCUCUCCUCUCUCUUCUCCUCUCCUCUUUCCUCUUUCCUCUCUUUCUCUCUCUUAGGUUUCUCUCUCCUCUCUCUCUCGCCAGAAGGGCAAAACCCUAAAGAGCCGUUUACACCCACUUGAAUCUGGGUGUUGUUUAUUUGCUUGGUUGGGAGAUAUUGACCAGGAAACAGCUUGACGAAGUGGUUGACGGAGCUGGAGGUGAGGCAGGUGGAAUUGGGGCUGAGAGUGAGAGCCGUGACGCUGUCGCAGCGGUGACGGAUGAGCUUGGGAUGGCUGGACAGGAUAAGAGAGUCGUGGAUGGUGAUUGUGGGGUCGGAGGAGGACGUCGUCACGACUUGGUAGGCCUACUGGUCCCACAGCACCGAUCAGUACGACGGCCACCCGUCGCUGCUCGUGGGCCUCUCGGAGCUUCAAAGUUCUGAUCUUCAUGGCUCUGCGUGCGGAUCGACAGAAACUUGGAUUUGGGUUUUUAUUGGAUUUUCCAGAUUUCUUUGUUGUUUGAUUUUUUUUUCAUGGUUUAGGGGGUAUUUGGGGCUGAGAUUUGAUCUAGGUUUUGAAAGUUUUAGCUCGAUUUUUGUAGGGUUGUUGAUUUUUUUUGGAUUUUGGAGAUGAAGAUUAAGAUGGGUUUAGGAUGAGGGGUUUGGGAUGAUGAAGAUAAAGCCAUGGUUGCUGCAGUUUUAGGAACCACUACUUUUUUUUUUUUUUGAACCCCUUCUCAAAAAAAAAAAAAAA